rnacentral:snoRNA from 1 species
UCCACAGAUUAGUCAGCAAGGCCACACUAUUUCAAUGGUGGUCUUCGUGUUACAUCUGUGGUACAUUAAUGUCGGUGUCCAGCGAUCAAGACUGGUCGUUUUGAUCAGUCAUGGUCAUCACUGGUAUCUGACAUGGUUUUCUGAGAGUUGUUGGGAAUAUUUUGUAAUUUCUGACUUAGUUGUAAAACCUACAUG